rnacentral:rRNA from 1 species
UACGUAGGUGGCAAGCGUUGUUCGGAAUUAUUGGGCGUAAAGGGCGCGUAGGCGGCAUGUUAAGUCGGCUGUGAAAGCCUGGGGCUCAACCCCAGAGGGUCGGCCGAUACUGGCAAGCUAGAGUACGGAAGAGGUAGCUGGAAUUCCCGGUGUAGCGGUGAAAUGCGUAGAUAUCGUAAGGAAGACCAGUGGCGAAGGCGGGUCUCUGGACAGUUCCUGACGCUGAGGCACGGAGGCCAGGGGAGCAAACGGG